rnacentral:rRNA from 1 species
UAAUUAAAAUUUAUUUAUUAAUAUUUUUUGUUUUUGAUUUAAAAUUUUAAAAAUAAUUUUAUUUAUUUUUAGUUUAAGUAUUUUAUAAAGAAAAAAUAAUAUUUAUAAUAGUUUAUUAGUAUUGUAAAAGAAAAUUGAAAUAAUUUGAAAAAUUUUUAUUUUAAAAGAAAAAUUUAUUUUUUGUACCUUGUGUAUCAGGGUUAAUUAAUUAAAAUAUAAUGAUUUAUAUUUCUCGAUUUUAAGAGAUUUAAUAAUUUAUGUUUGUUACUGUUGAAUAAGUAUAAAAAAUUAAUUAUUAGAAAUGAAACGUUAUUCGUUCUUAAAUAUAUCUAGUUUCUUAAGAAAUAAAUUUAAUUUAGAUAUUUUUAAUUAUUUAUUUAUAUAAUUUAUAAUUUAAAUAAUUUUUAAAUAUUAAUAUUUUAAGGGAUGAGCUUUAAAAUAAAUUUUUAUAAUUUUAAAAAUAUUUUUAUAAAAAAGUAAGCUUAUAAAUAGCUAUCUUUAAUAAUUAUGUUAUAAUUUAUUUUAUAUUUAAAAUAUUUUUUUUAAUUUAAUUUUUUAUUAAGAUAUUUAUUUUAAUAAAAAAAAUAAAAUAAUAAUGAUUAAAUUAGUAAAUUGUUUAUUGUUUAAUAAAAAUAAAUAAUGUUAGGUUUAUUUUAAUUAAUUCGACAAUUUUUUAUACUCACCUGUUUAUCAAAAACAUGUCUUUUUAGGUAAUUUUUAAAAAGUCUAACCUGCCCACUGAAAUUUUAAAUUGAAGGGCCGCGGUAUUUUGACCGUGCAAAGGUAGCAUAAUCAUUAGUCUUUUAAUUGAAGGCUUGUAUGAAUGGUUGAAUGAGGUAUAUGUUGUAUCAAUAAAAUUUUUAUUUGAACUUUAUAUUUUAGUUAAAAUGCUAAAAUAAUAUUAAAAGACGAGAAGACCCUAUAAAUCUUUACAAUUGAUUUAAUUUUAUUUAUAAAGAAUAAUUAAAAUUUAAUUAUAUUAAUUGUUUUAUUGGGGUGAUAUUAAGAUUUAUUUAACUCUUAAAAAAUUUUUUCAUUUAUAUAUGAUUUAUUGAUCCAUUUUAAUGAUUAAAAAUUUAAGUUACUUUAGGGAUAACAGCGUAAUUUUUUUAGAGAGUUCUUAUCGAUAAAAAAGAUUGCGACCUCGAUGUUGGACUAAGAAUUAUUUUAGGUGUAGAAGUUUAAAAUUUGGGUCUGUUCGACCUUUGAAUUCUUACAUGAUCUGAGUUCAGACCGGCGUGAGCCAGGUUGGUUUCUAUCUUUAAUAAAUUAGAAUAUUUUAGUACGAAAGGACCAAAUAUUUGAAUUUUAAAUUUUAAAUUAAUGAAUAAAAUUAAUUUUACAAUAAAAAUUAUAAAAAAAAAUUAUAGA